rnacentral:rRNA from 1 species
UACGUAGGGUGCAAGCGUUGUCCGGAAUUAUUGGCGUAAAGAGCUCGUAGGCGGUCUGUCGCGUCUGCUGUGAAAACUCAGGGCUUAACCCUGAGCUUGCAGUGGGUACGGGCAGACUAGAGUGCGGUAAGGGGAGACUGGAAUUCCUGGUGAUAGCGGUGAAAUGCGCAGAUAUCAGGAGGACACCGUGGGCGAAGGCGGGUCUCUGGGCCGUA